UUGUCCUGGUCCGUGCUCAGUUCCAACAGGGAGGCUGGCGGGGCACACAGCAAUCGGACUCUCAGGUUAGGAGGGCUGUCCCAAGUGUUGGGCUGGCUCUUAAAGCAUGAUAGGACAAU